AUUAUAUGGGCGUAAAGCGCGCGCAGGUGGUUUCUUAAGUCUGAUGUGAAAGCCCACUGCUCAACCGUGGAGGGUCAUUGCAAACUGGGAGACUUGAAUGCAGAAGAAGAAAGUGGAAUUCCAUGUGUAGCAGUGAGAAAUGCGUAGAGAUAUGGAGGAACACCAGUGGCGAAGGCGACUUUCUGGUCUGUAACUGACACUGAGGCGCGAAAGCGUGCGGGAGCAAACAGGAUUAGAUACCCUGGUAGUCCACGCCGUAAACUAUGAGUUGUAAGUGUUAGAGGGUUUCCGCCCUUUAGUGCUGAAGUUAACUCAUUACGCACUCCGCCUGGGGAGUACGGCCGCAAGGCUGAGACUCAAAGGAGUUGACGGGGGCCCGCACAAGCUGUGGAUCAUGUCGUUGAAUCUGAAACAACGCUUAGAACCUUACAAGGUCUUGACAUCUUCUGACAACCCUAUAGAUACGGCUCGUCCUCGAGGAGCAGAGCGACAGGUGGUGCAUGAUUGUCGUCACGUCGUGUCGUGGGAUAUUGGGUCAAGUCCCGCACC
rnacentral:rRNA from 1 species